AUCUGGUUGACGAGUCACAAAGUAAGACGAAACGUACGUCCUGGAU
rnacentral:hammerhead_ribozyme from 1 species